rnacentral:SRP_RNA from 1 species
GCCAGGCAUGGUGGCACAUACCUGUAAUCCUUUAGGCUGGUGUGGAUCACUUGAGCUCAGGAUUUCUGAGCUGCAGUUGGGCUAAAAGGUUGAUCAGGUGUCUUUACUAAGUGUGGUACCAAUAUGGUGAGCCUCUGGGGGUGGGUAGUCACCGGUCUGCCUAAAGAGGGGUGGGCUGGCCCCGGUGAAAAAUGGAACACGUCAAAGCUCCCAUGUAGAUCAGUAGUGGGAUCUGAGCGAUAGGUGGCAGCUGCACUUCCAGCUCGGGUGAGAUAGGAAGACCU